rnacentral:rRNA from 1 species
GGUUAAGCGACUAAGCGUACACGGUGGAUGCCCUGGCAGUCAGAGGCGAUGAAGGACGUGCUAAUCUGCGAAAAGCGCCGGCGAGGUGAUAUGAACCCUUGACCCGGCGAUGUCCGAAUGGGGAAACCCAGUGUGUUCCGACACACUAUCGUUAACUGAAUACAUAGGUUAACGAGGCGAACCGGGGGAACUGAAACAUCUAAGUACCCCGAGGAAAAGAAAUCAACCGAGAUUCCCCCAGUAGCGGCGAGCGAACGGGGAGCAGCCCGGAGUCUGAAUCAGCUUGUGUGUUAGUGGAACGGUCUGGAAAGUCCGACGGUACAGGGUGAUAGUCCCGUACACGAAAAUGCACAGGUUGUGAACUCGAAGAGUAGGGCGGGACACGUGGUAUCCUGUCUGAAUAUGGGGGGACCAUCCUCCAAGGCUAAAUACUCCUGACUGACCGAUAGUGAACCAGUACCGUGAGGGAAAGGCGAAAAGAACCCCGGCGAGGGGAGUGAAAAAGAACCUGAAACCGUGUACGUACAAGCAGUGGGAGCACCUUCGGGUGUGACUGCGUACCUUUUGUAUAAUGGGUCAGCGACUUAUAUUCUGUAGCAAGGUUAACCGUAUAGGGGAGCCGAAGGGAAACCGAGUCUUAACUGGGCGUUAAGUUGCAGGGUAUAGACCCGAAACCCGGUGAUCUAGCCAUGGGCAGGUUGAAGGUUGGGUAACACUAACUGGAGGACCGAACCGACUAAUGUUGAAAAAUUAGCGGAUGACCUGUGGCUGGGGGUGAAAGGCCAAUCAAACCGGGAGAUAGCUGGUUCUCCCCGAAAGCUAUUUAGGUAGCGCCUCGUGAACUCAUCUUCGGGGGUAGAGCACUGUUUCGGCUAGGGGGCCAUCCCGGCUUACCAACCCGAUGCAAACUACGAAUACCGAAGAAUGUUAUCACGGGAGACACACGGCGGGUGCUAACGUCCGUCGUGAAGAGGGAAACAACCCAGACCGCCAGCUAAGGUCCCAAAGUCAUGGUUAAGUGGGAAACGAUGUGGGAAGGCACAGACAGCCAGGAUGUUGGCUUAGAAGCAGCCAUCAUUUAAAGAAAGCGUAAUAGCUCACUGGUCGAGUCGGCCUGCGCGGAAGAUGUAACGGGGCUAAACCAUGCACCGAAGCUGCGGCAGCGACGCUUAUGCGUUGUUGGGUAGGGGAGCGUUCUGUAAGCCGUUGAAGGUGUGCUGUGAGGCAUGCUGGAGGUAUCAGAAGUGCGAAUGCUGACAUAAGUAACGAUAAAGCGGGUGAAAAGCCCGCUCGCCGGAAGACCAAGGGUUCCUGUCCAACGUUAAUCGGGGCAGGGUGAGUCGACCCCUAAGGCGAGGCCGAAAGGCGUAGUCGAUGGGAAACAGGUUAAUAUUCCUGUACUUGGUGUUACUGCGAAGGGGGGACGGAGAAGGCUAUGUCAGCCGGGCGACGGUUGUCCCGGUUUAAGCAUGUAGGCGGAGGUUCCAGGUAAAUCCGGUACCUUUUAACGCUGAGGUGUGAUGACGAGGCACUACGGUGCUGAAGUGAUAAAUGCCCUGCUUCCAGGAAAAGCCUCUAAGCAUCAGGUAACACGAAAUCGUACCCCAAACCGACACAGGUGGUCAGGUAGAGAAUACCAAGGCGCUUGAGAGAACUCGGGUGAAGGAACUAGGCAAAAUGGUGCCGUAACUUCGGGAGAAGGCACGCUGAUAGGUAGGUGAAGCCCCUGCGGGCGGAGCUGAAAUCAGUCGAAGAUACCAGCUGGCUGCAACUGUUUAUUAAAAACACAGCACUGUGCAAACACGAAAGUGGACGUAUACGGUGUGACGCCUGCCCGGUGCCGGAAGGUUAAUUGAUGGGGUUAGCGGCAACGCGAAGCUCUUGAUCGAAGCCCCGGUAAACGGCGGCCGUAACUAUAACGGUCCUAAGGUAGCGAAAUUCCUUGUCGGGUAAGUUCCGACCUGCACGAAUGGCGUAAUGAUGGCCAGGCUGUCUCCACCCGAGACUCAGUGAAAUUGAACUCGCUGUGAAGAUGCAGUGUACCCGCGGCAAGACGGAAAGACCCCGUGAACCUUUACUAUAGCUUGACACUGAACACUGGUCCUUGAUGUGUAGGAUAGGUGGGAGGCUUUGAAGCGUGGACGCCAGUCUGCGUGGAGCCGUCCUUGAAAUACCACCCUUUAAUGGCUGGUGUUCUAACGUAGACCCGUGAUCCGGGUUGCGGACAGUGUCUGGUGGGUAGUUUGACUGGGGCGGUCUCCUCCCAAAGAGUAACGGAGGAGCACGAAGGUUGGCUAAUCCUGGUCGGACAUCAGGAGGUUAGUGCAAUGGCAUAAGCCAGCUUGACUGCGAGCGUGACGGCGCGAGCAGGUGCGAAAGCAGGUCAUAGUGAUCCGGUGGUUCUGAAUGGAAGGGCCAUCGCUCAACGGAUAAAAGGUACUCCGGGGAUAACAGGCUGAUACCGCCCAAGAGUUCAUAUCGACGGCGGUGUUUGGCACCUCGAUGUCGGCUCAUCACAUCCUGGGGCUGAAGUAGGUCCCAAGGGUAUGGCUGUUCGCCAUUUAAAGUGGUACGCGAGCUGGGUUUAGAACGUCGUGAGACAGUUCGGUCCCUAUCUGCCGUGGGCGCUGGAGAAUUGAGGGGGGCUGCUCCUAGUACGAGAGGACCGGAGUGGACGCAUCACUGGUGUUCGGGUUGUCAUGCCAAUGGCACUGCCCGGUAGCUAAAUGCGGAAGAGAUAAGUGCUGAAAGCAUCUAAGCACGAAACUUGCCCCGAGAUGAGUUCUCCCUGAGACCUUGAGUCUCCUGAAGGAACGUUGAAGACGACGACGUUGAUAGGUCGGGUGUGUAAGCGCAGCGAUGCGUUGAGCUAACCGAUACUAAUGAACCGUGAGGCUUAACCUU